AGCAGCCGCGGUAAUUCCAGCUCCAAUAGCGUAUAUUAAAGUUGUUGCAGUUAAAAAGCUCGUAGUUGAAUUUCGAGACCGGCUUACUGGUCGUGCUAUUGUACGUACUGGUAUAAUCGGUUUCUCCUUUCUGACGAACUAUAAUGCCAUUAAUUUGGUGUUAUAGGGAAUCAGGACUGUUACUUUGAAAAAAUUAGAGUGUUUAAAGCAGGCUCACGCUUGAACACAUUAGCAUGGAAUAACGGAAUAGGACGUUUGAUUCUAUUUUGUGGUUUCUAGGAUCGACGUAAUGAUUAAUAGGGAUAGUUGGGGGCAUUAGUAUUCAAUUGUCAGAGGUGAAAUUCUUGGAUUUAUGAAGACUAACUACUGCGAAAGCAUUUGCCAAGGAUGUU
rnacentral:rRNA from 1 species